rnacentral:misc_RNA from 1 species
GAUGAAGAACGUAGCGAAAUGCGAUACGUAGUGUGAAUUGCAGAAUUCUGUGAAUCAUCGAAUCUUUGAACGCACAUUGCACCUCUCGGUAUUCCGGGAGGUAUGCCUGUUCGAGCGUCAUUUGUACCCUCAAGCUCUGCUUGGUGUUGGGUGUUUGUUCCGCCUCUGUGUGUGAACUCGCCUCAAAACAAUUGGCAGCCGGCGUACUUGUUUCGGAGCGCAGCACAUUUUGCGAUCCAGAUCAACGUACAGCGGCAUCCAAGAAGCCUUAUUUAACGCUCUUGACCUCGGAUCAGGUAGGGAUACCCGCUGAACUUAAGCAUAUCAAUAAGCGGAGGA